GAGCAGCAUAUAGCGGCGCGCAUGACAGUGUGCAGCAGAGCGCCUCAGCAUGCAUCGGAUCCCGUGUACGGCUACACGUGUUAGUUGCUCGCUCUCUUUUCUUACUGUUUCUCCUUACAUCUCGACUACCCCCGAACCCCUUUUUUCUUUUUUUAGUUUGCGUGUUUUGUUCGGCCCCUCCACCACCCCUUUUCUCGCUGCGGGUUCGUGUUAAUAUGCCCGUCUUGGCAUCUCCUUGCAAAUGUCGCUAACCUCGUGGCUUCCUGGUCGCCUAGUCUACUGAGGGAAGCGGGGUGCAGGUGUGGGUGUGCAACACUGGCAUGACUGCUCCCCCCCCCUCCUGCCCCCUCUGUAAUCAUGACGGUGCAAAGUGAACGCACCGCUGGCGCACACAAGCACAAGAGCGCGCAUGCAUGGGUAGUAGAAAGAAGGAGCAGAGAGCCGGUUUCUCUGAGGGCACACAGCUGCGGGAAGUCUUCCCCCUCCCCUUCCAGCCGCAGCGUUUGUCUUCUCUCAACGACGUCUAUGAUGAUGCCUUCCAUUCCUCUCCGCCCCUCCGUCUCGCUGAUCUCCUCGCCGUCUGGCCUCCUCAGGAGGUGAGUCAUUGUAAAGGAGAGCCGACGGCCGUUCGGCACGCAAACCUGUCUUUCUCCUAGCCUACCGACCAGCCCUGCCCCCUCCCUUCCUCGCCGCACCGCACCCCCACCCCUCCUCACGCACGCACACAUACACGCCGUUCUCUCCGCUCUACUCUGCUCCCAUUGGACGCCAG
rnacentral:misc_RNA from 1 species